ACCAUCCUAAAACUUCGCUUCCUGAAACAACAAACCUGUGUGAUUUUGCAUGGCGUCUGUGGGUCAGGAAUGGCUGAAGCAGGGCUCCGGACCGGUCAAGAGGGUGCAGGCAAGAUGUUGGCGGAGCUGCGUUCAGUCAUCUGACGGGCUGACUGGACCUAGAGGACCCACUUCCCACGCUGCUCACCCAUGUGGCUGCGACGUGGGUCAGUCCUCUGCGGGGUGUGAGAGAAUGGAGAGCAGGGAGCGAAUCGCGGAGGGCCCCCCCCAGGGGCUGGCUGCUGGAUCAGCACUGAGCACGGGACACCUGUUGUAACGAGUACUGUGUACAAUGCACCAAAACCCACGAGGGAAGAAUUCCCCUGCGUAGGAAAUGAAACUUUUAGGACUCCACCCCUGUGCUUCGGAAUAUUCGAUGACAACAUUAAGGACCAAAACCCUCCAACUUCCACUUUACUUUCUACUAACGCAUUUGACAUCAGGAGUGGAUUUCAGAAUGACUUGUCACCAAGCCCAGAAAAUGUAAAUGAUCUGGAAUGCUCUUAAUGACCUGAUUUGGGAACAUCGUCAAGUCGACUCAAGGAAGAAUGCUGUUCAGGUCAGGUGGCCUCCGUGGGCCUCCUGUAUAUGCAUGAGCCUCGCCGUUUCCGGGGGUCUCUUGGAGAUUCGAUCAUGCAAGUGAUGGACUCAGGGGACUUCACUUCUUAGUAUCAUCACGUCCUUUUCGGGGUCUGCUACCCCGUUCAACAAGCUGAAGGUAGUCUUUGCAGGGUUUUCACUAAGAAAAGCAAGCGUCAGCUUAUUAAGUUUAAUCAAGUGGAACCGCGCGUAGGAUCUCCCAUUACCUUCCCAUUAACAUGGAAACUGCCUAAUUUUCUGGCUGUUGCCAUUCUUGCCACCGCCUGUCUUUGUCGCGCAGCAAGCACUCUCUGAGUCAUGAAGAACCUCCCACAGGCCUGCAGGAAAACCUCGACUCAGAAACCCAGUCUGAUGUCUCCUGGGCCUUCGGCAUCUCACAGAUAACGAUCUUGAUGCAGGAAAACAUUUGGCUUUUUGUAGUGAUGGAUUUCUUUCCUGUAACUUCAACAACCUGAGGACCAUCUUUGCAAGAGAAGCUCGUUCCCACAGAUGUUCCUUCUUGCACCAGAGUUAUGUCCGGGACAGGGUUUAUUUGCCCACAGGUCACGGAGCUUCGACAGAAGCAGCUGUGCGCCCAUUUCCGCUGGCCGCCUUUCUCCUGGAUCCUUCUCCCUUGGCCAAAUGUCUUCAAUCCCCCUUCCCCCGACACUUGGCUCUUGAGAGGAGUCUGAGCGCUGAGAGGCUCGCUGUCGGCAAUCAGCUUCUUGCUGGGUAUCUUCCAGUUCCCUUGCUCACGGACCUCUGCGUGCUGCAGACGCUCUGCACCUGUUGGGUCAGAUUCAAUUUCCUGCAACUGCUCCGGACCCGUCCUGUGCGUCUAUCUGCUGAGCAAAAGCCUCUGGUCCUGGCUUCCGAGCCCUGAGGCUUCCCAGGCCUGGUGGCAAGCCCGGGGACCUUGCUAGGUGUCGCGUGCGGACCACGACACCUGGCGUCACUGCAUCUCCUCCACCAGAGGCCCAGCCCGCACCUCCAUCUUCCGCGGGCCAAGCGGCCACACCCCGCAUCGCCUGCGGCCCGGGCCCUCCUAGCCCCUCAUGCUUCAGGCCUCUCCACCGGACCUGCUCCCAGACACCUGGGGCCUGGGGACCGUCCUCGUGCCACCGCCCAACGACUAGCACCCGGAAGCGAGAACAGCCAUCGGGAGCCAGCAGACCCCCUGGGGUCGCAGCCUCCUAGACUUGACGGGGCAAAUCCUGCCCCCCCGCCAGAGCACUUUGUCCAAUCGACGCUGGCCACCGGCUGAGAGGCAGCAACUUUGUCCAAUUGGUCUCACCGACGCCCCCUUCCCGGGAGGCUCGCCUAAUCACAAGGUGAAGGCGCCAAUGACGCCUCCUGGAGAAACACGGAAGGCGGGGAAAAAAGAAGGGGUGUGGCCACAGGCCCCGCCUUCCACGCUGUAGGAGAGGUGGUGCGCCUGCGUGAGGGAGCCCGGGGCAAUAAGGCGGAGGCGGUACCUAAGGUGGGUGUCUGCUCCGCGUCCUUUGCAAGAUUCUUUUAAAACCGCAUGUCUUACCGUGACAGCUAGUUUAAUUAAAACCAAAUUUAUUGCACCGAUCCCCUUAUCCAAGCACUGCACGUGACAUUUUCUAUUUAUAUUUAUUCUUUUUAAAAAAACUUUUUAAAUCUUUAUUUAUUUUU